AGCUUUUUGUCCCCAAUCGGACAAGCUGCCCACCAUUAACUGUCUUUAGUCUGAAAUGUGUUCCCAAAGGUAGCCUAAGGAACAUACACACGUGCACGCACACACACCAAAUUUCAUUCCUUUACUCUAUACUUCCUGCCAGACUCCUCCACACUGUAAUAUUUCUUUAUCAGUUUGAAACAGUCAAGUAGUAUUUUGUCAGUUUUAAGACUGCUCAACUGCAGACUGCUUAACAUCUACUUUUCACAUUGACAUUUGACAUUGUCACAUUGCUUUUUUCAUGCUUGAAUUGUGUAUGAUGCAUUGUAUUUGUGUUACAUUUCGCAAGAAAGCGUUUUUAUUUUUUAAAAGGUUUCAUGAUGAAAGCGUUCAUGUCUUUUUAUACCAAUGUCUUAUAAGACCCGUACUACUGUUUACUUUUAGUUAUUACAUGUUUAUUUCUAUUCAUGCUUUGUUUUAACGUUUAUGAUGUUAUCAAUGUAAAUGUAUGGGCAUUGUACAUGUAAUGAAGGUGCUAUAAAAAAUUAAAUUGCCAUUGCCAUUACUGUUGUUAAAUAAAAAAGAAAUAAAAUGUAACAAAAGAA